GACGAACGCUGGCGGCGUGCUUAACACAUGCAAGUCGAACGAUGAACCGGAGCUUGCUCUGGGGAUUAGUGGCGAACGGGUGAGUAACACGUGGGCAACCUGCCCCAGACACCGGGAUAACCAUUGGAAACGAUGGCUAAUACCGGAUACGACCACUUCGGGCAUCCGAUGGUGGUGGAAAGGAUUCUGGUCUGGGAUGGGCCCGCGGCCUAUCAGCUUGUUGGUGGGGUAAUGGCCUACCAAGGCGAGGACGGGUAGCCGGCCUGGGAGGGCGACGGGCCACACGGGGACUGAGACACGGCCCAGACUCCUACGGGAGGCAGCAGUGGGGAAUAUUGCGCAAUGGGCGAAAGCCUGACGCAGCGACGCCGCGUGAGGGACGAAGGUCUUCGGAUUGUAAACCUCUUUCAGCAGGGAUGAAGCGAAAGUGACAGUACCUGCAGAAGAAGCACCGGCUAACUACGUGCCAGCAGCCGCGGUAAAAC
rnacentral:rRNA from 1 species